rnacentral:rRNA from 1 species
GAUGAACGCUGGCGGCGUGCCUAAUACAUGCAAGUCGAGCGAACGGACGAGAAGCUUGCUUCUCUGAUGUUAGCGGCGGACGGGUGAGUAACACGUGGAUAACCUACCUAUAAGACUGGGAUAACUUCGGGAAACCGGAGCUAAUACCGGAUAAUAUUUUGAACCGCAUGGUUCAAAAGUGAAAGACGGUCUUGCUGUCACUUAUAGAUGGAUCCGCGCUGCAUUAGCUAGUUGGUAAGGUAACGGCUUACCAAGGCAACGAUGCAUAGCCGACCUGAGAGUGUGCUCGGCCACGCUGGCAGUGAGACGCGGUCCAGACUCACGCGAGGGACAAGAGUGGAAUAUCUUCCGAUGGGGGCGAGAGCCUGGGAGCGAAGCGCCGCGUGAGUGGAGGAGCUUUUGGUAUUGUAAAACUCUGUUAUGAGAAGAAAACAUGUGUGAGAGAAACUGUGCGCAUCGAGGCGAUCCAAACUGAAAACGCCGCGUCUCUCCGCG